GACGAACGCUGGCGGCGUGCCUAAUACAUGCAAGUCGAGCGGACGAAUCGAAAGCUUGCUUUUGAUUCGUUAGCGGCGGACGGGUGAGUAACACGUGGGCAACCUGCCCUGUAGACGGGGAUAACACCGAGAAAUCGGUGCUAAUACCGGAUAACACGAAAUGUCGCAUGACGUUUCGUUGAAAGACGGCGCAAGCUGUCGCUACAGGAUGGGCCCGCGGCGCAUUAGCUAGUUGGUGAGGUAACGGCUCACCAAGGCGACGAUGCGUAGCCGACCUGAGGGGGUGAUCGGCCACACGGGGACUGAGACACGGCCCAGACUCCUACGGGAGGCAGCAGUAGGGAAUCUUCCGCAAUGGACGAAAGUCUGACGGAGCAACGCCGCGUGAGCGAAGAAGGCCUUCGGGUCGUAAAGCUCUGUUGUUAGGGAAGAACAAGUAACGCAGUAACUGGCGUUACCGUGACGGUACCUAACGAGAAAGCCACGGCUAACUACGUG
rnacentral:rRNA from 1 species